AAAGAAACCUGGCAAGGGAGAUACCAUGAUCCUAAAGGUGGUUUUCCCAGAGCAAGGCUUAUCCAUUGCACUCGCCCUAGUGACCCUGCGAUUUCCCCAAAUUUGGGGAAACUCGACUGCAGAAUUUGUGGUAGUGGGCACCGCGCUCUCCCCAG
rfam:Mesocricetus auratus contig135662, whole genome shotgun sequence.